AGGUGCGAUCAUACCAGCACUAAUGCACCGGAUCCCAUCAGAACUUCGCAGUGAAGCUCGCUUGAGCGAGAGUAGUACUAGGAUGGGUGACCUCCUGGGAAGUCCUCGUGUUGCACUUC
rnacentral:rRNA from 1 species